UGUGCAUAACACGGCUCUUUCCUACUACAGAAGGCCGUCCUCAAGAAAACAGCAGCACGUGUUGGUGCAUAUGCGGAGACAGUGCACAGAGAGACGCAGGCAGAUGGUGCUCAGUGAUGGCUCCAGUGUACUUGCCACAAUGUAUGACCUUGAUGGAGUGGGAAUGGGGCGCGCCAUGCACUAUCCCGCAGCCGCCUGCAGUUACUUACAGCUGGACUCCCGGGGCUUGAACGAUCAGAAGGUGUAGUUCCAAGCAACUCUCUGUGACAAACUUGGCUGACAGCAAAGGAAUGGAACGACGGCUAUUUCUCCGAGAGCGAGAAGUCAUUGAGUCCAUCCCUCUUGUUGCUGGUGGGUCUCUCCACUAUCCCUACCCAUAAAUGCUCGCUUCAAUGCUUGAAAAGCUCUGCUGUCUGGAAGGUGUUCAAGGGCAAUGACAGCUGGAGCUGGCGCUUCUGCUUUCAAAUCUUGCACAGCCACCUGCUACUUGGUGGCCCUUGGGGUUUUGUGAGGAGGGAGGAGACCGUGCUACUUCCCAGCCUGCUGGACCACCCCGGGAUCACUGUUACUAUUGUUAGAGAACUCACCGUCAGCGGAGCACCAUCGCUGUAGACAAGGACCUGAAAGAACUAGCUGGGUCUGGUGGUGCAGGCCUGUAAUCCCAGCUCCUUGGGAGGCUGAUGAGGGGAAAUACAAAGUGCAGGGCCUGCUUGGGCUACAGAGUGAGUUCAAGCCUGCUCUUGGCAAAUUAGCAAGACCCGUCUCAAAUGGAAAGUGCCAAGAGGGGUAGGGGCUGGUCAGUGAGGAAGAGCACUUGCCAUGCAAGCUUGAUGGUGAGGGUUUUGAUUCUCAAACCCAUACAAAACCUGGAUGCAACGGCUUUCAAUCUAGCACUCCUAUGACAAGGUGGCAGGCAGAGGCAGGAGAAUCUCCUGGAAAUCCAUGGACCAGCAAGGUAUAGUACAUUGGCACAGUGGCAAACACAAGGGACAAUGCUUCAAAACAAGGUAGUUUUGGUGAAGAUAUGAAUUAAUACAGUCAUUAUGAAAAUCAAUUUGCAGAUUCCUCCCCCCCCCCCCAAGAUUUAAAAAUAGAACUUCUGGCUCUUUUACUUCUGGGCAUGUAACCAGAGAAUUUCACAUUCUACCUGAAAGGUAUUUAAUCCUCAUGGGUACUUUACUGCUGCUUUAUUUACUACAGCGAGGAAUUGGAGCCAACCUGUUUGUCUCAGUAGGGGAAGCUAUGAUGAAAUCUGGCACUGACAUGAAAUGGAAUACUAUUCAGCUUUGAAGAAAACUUAAAUCACCAAAUUUGCAAGAAGGUAGAUUUGCAAAAGAUAAUAUUGAGCAAGGUCACACAAUCUCAGAAAGAAAAAAAAAUACCCAUGUUCUCCCUCAUUUGGGGAUCUUAAUCUACUCUAUAUGUGUAAGUAUGUAUAUGCAUGUAAACAAUAUACAUAUGAUUACUGUAGAACACAUAGAAAAGAGAACAAGAAAGGCUGAAUAUUAGGUGAUGAGGAAAGAAGGAAUGCAGGUAAAGGACACUUGAGUCAUGAAGAAGGAGAUGAAAUGGUUUUUCUAGUUUUAACUCUGUUAUUGAGCUACCCUCCCCCCACUUUUUGAUACAUGGUGAAAUAAGUGCAUAAAAAUAUAGUU